rnacentral:rRNA from 1 species
GUUAAUCGGAGCAGGGUGAGUCGACCCCUAAGGCGAGGCCGAAAGGCGUAGUCGAUGGGAAGCAGGUUAAUAUUCCUGUACUGGGUGUGACUGCGAAGGGGGGACGGAGAAAGCUAGGUUCGCCGGGCGACGGUUGUCCCGGUUCAAGCGUGAAGGUGGAACGAGCAGGCAAAUCCGCUCAUUCUUAACACUGAGGCGUGAUGACGAGCUACUACGGUGGCGAAGGAAUUGAUGCUACGCUUCCAGGAAAAGCCUCUAAGCUCCAGGUCACAUCGAAUCGUACCCCAAACCGACACAGGUGGUCAGGUAGAGAAUACCAAGGCGCUUGAGAGAACUCGGGUGAAGGAACUAGGCAAAAUGGUGCCGUAACUUCGGGAGAAGGCACGCUGGCAUGUAGGUGAAGGGCCUGCGCCCCGAGCUGAGGCCAGUCGCAGAUACCAGCUGGCUGCAACUGUUUAUUAAAAACACAGCACUGUGCAAACACGAAAGUGGACGUAUACGGUGUGACGCCUGCCCGGUGCCGGAAGGUUAAUUGAUGGGGUUAACGCUUGCGAGAAGCUCUUGAUCGAAGCCCCGGUAAACGGCGGCCGUAACUAUAACGGUCCUAAGGUAGCGAAAUUCCUUGUCGGGUAAGUUCCGACCUGCACGAAUGGCGUAAUGAUGGCCAGGCUGUCUCCACCCGAGACUCAGUGAAAUUGAACUCGCCGUGAAGAUGCGGUGUACCCGCGGCAAGACGGAAAGACCCCGUGAACCUUUACUAUAGCUUGACACUGAACAUUGAACCUUAAUGUAUAGGAUAGGCGGGAGGCUUUGAAGUGUAGACGCCAGUCUGCAUGGAGCCAACCUUGAAAUACCACCCUUUAAUGUUUGAUGUUCUCACUCAGGCCCGUUACCCGGACCGAGGACAGUGUCUGGUGGGUAGUUUGACUGGGGCGGUCUCCUCCCAAAGCGUAACGGAGGAGCACAAAGGUUAGCUAAUCACGGUCGGAAAUCGUGAGGUUAGUGUAAAGGCAUAAGCUAGCUUGACUGCGAGAGUGACGGCUCGAGCAGGUGCGAAAGCAGGUCUUAGUGAUCCGGUGGUUCUGCAUGGAAGGGCCAUCGCUCAACGGAUAAAAGGUACUCCGGGGAUAACAGGCUUAUACCGCCCAAGAGUUCAUAUCGACGGCGGUGUUUGGCACCUCGAUGUCGGCUCAUCACAUCCUGGGGCUGAAGUAGGUCCCAAGGGUAUGGCUGUUCGCCAUUUAAAGUGGUACGCGAGCUGGGUUUAGAACGUCGUGAGACAGUUCGGUCCCUAUCUGCCGUGGGCGCUGGAAGAUUGAGAGGGGCUGCUCCUAGUACGAGAGGACCGGAGUGGACGCACCGCUGGUGUUCGGGUUGUCAUGCCAAUGGCAUUGCCCGGUAGCUACGUGCGGAAGAGAUAACCGCUGAAAGCAUCUAAGCGGGAAACUUGCCUCGAGAUGAGUCUUCCCUGAGGCCUUGAGCCUCCUGAAGGGACGUUAAAGACGAUGACGUUGAUAGGUCGGGUGUGUAAGCGCUGUGAGGCGUUGAGCUAACCGAUACUAAUGACCCGUGAGACUUAACCUU